CCUCAUCUGCAUCCUCGCGACUAAUGACAACCCUUAAUCCCCACCCGGGACAAAGCCUCUCAUUAGCCGCGCGAAUCUCUGCAACUGAAGAUCACACUGAGCAACAAUACAAUAGUUUGACCUGGAUUGCUGCCGACUGCCUGAAAAAAGGGGCCAUAAAGGCCCCUUUUU
rnacentral:sRNA from 1 species